rnacentral:rRNA from 1 species
AGUUAAGGAACUCGGCAAAAUAGAGCCGUAACUUCGGGAGAAGGCUCGCCCCUUGACUUGUAGCCCCUUGCGGGCGAAGGGUUGGGGGGUCGCAGUGAAAUGGCCCAGGCGACUGUUUACCAAAAACACAGGUCUCUGCCAAAGCGAAAGCUGAAGUAUAGGGGCUGACGCCUGCCCAGUGCCCGAAGGUUAAGGGGAGAGGUUAGCGCAAGCGAAGCUUUGAACCGAAGCCCGGGUGAACGGCGGCCGUAACUAUAACGGUCCUAAGGUAGCGAAAUUCCUUGUCGGGUAAGUUCCGACCCGCACGAAAGGCGUAACGAUCUGGGCACUGUCUCAACGAGGGACUCGGCGAAAUUGAAAUCUGCGUGAAGAUGCGCAGUACCCGCAGCAGGACAAAAAGACCCCGUGGAGCUUUACUACAGCUUGCCAUUGCGUCUGGGCUGUGCUUGUGUAGGAUAGGUGGGAGGCUAUGAAUCCGGGCCGCCAGGUUCGGAGGAGCCGUCGUUGAAAUACCACCCUGGCACAGUCGAGGCCCUAACCGUCAGCCGUUAUCCGGCGACGAGACAGUGGCUGGUGGGUAGUUUGACUGGGGCGGUCGCCUCCUAAAAGGUAACGGAGGCGCCCAAAGGUCACCUCAGGCCGAAUGGAAACCGGCCGUUGAGUGUAAAGGCAUAAGGUGGCUUUACUGCGAGACGGACAUGUCGAGCAGUUGCGAAAGCAGGGCUUAGUGAUCCCACGGUACCGAGUGGAAGGGCCGUGGCUUAACGGAUAAAAGCUACCCCGGGGAUAACAGGCUAGUCUUGCCCAAGCGUCCACAGCGACGGCAAGGCUCGGCACCUCGAUGUCGGCUCGUCCCAUCCUGGGGCUGAAGCAGGUCCCAAGGGUUUGGCUGUUCGCCAAUUAAAGGGGCACGCGAGCUGGGUUCAGAACGUCGUGAGACAGUUCGGUCUCUAUCCGCUGCGGGCGAAGGUGAUUUGAGGGGAGUUGUCCUUAGUACGAGAGGACCGGGAUGAACUGACCUCUGGUGGGCCGGUUGUGGCGCCAGCCGCAUCGCCGGGUAGCCAAGUCGGGACGGGAUAACCGCUGAAAGCAUCUAAGUGGGAAGCCCCCCCCAAGAUAAGAUCACCCUCCGGGUAACCGGGUAAGCGCGGUGGUAGAUUACCACUUUGAUAGGGCAGGGGUGUAAGGGCCGUGAGGUCUUCAGCUGACUGCUACUAACGCGCGAGAGGCUUUACUC